rnacentral:rRNA from 1 species
AGAGUUUGAUCCUGGCUCAGGACGAACGCUGGCGGCGUGCUUAACACAUGCAAGUCGAACGGAAAGGCCCUUUCGGGGGUACUCGAGUGGCGAACGGGUGAGUAACACGUGGGUGAUCUGCCCUGCACUUUGGGAUAAGCCUGGGAAACUGGGUCUAAUACCGGAUAGGACUACGCGAUGCAUGUCGUGUGGUGGAAAGCUUUUGCGGUGUGGGAUGGGCCCGCGGCCUAUCAGCUUGUUGGUGGGGUGAUGGCCUACCAAGGCGACGACGGGUAGCCGGCCUGAGAGGGUGACCGGCCACACUGGGACUGAGAUACGGCCCAGACUCCUACGGGAGGCAGCAGUGGGGAAUAUUGCACAAUGGGCGCAAGCCUGAUGCAGCGGCGCCGCGUGAGGGAUGACGGCCUUCGGGUUGUAAACCUCUUUCAGUGCCGACGAAGCGCAAGUGACGGUAGGCAUAGAAGAAGGACCGGCCAACUACGUGCCAGCAGCCGCGGUAAUACGUAGGGUCCGAGCGUUGUCCGGAAUUACUGGGCGUAAAGAGCUCGUAGGUGGUUUGUCGCGUUGUUCGUGAAAACUCACAGCUCAACUGUGGGCGUGCGGGCGAUACGGGCAGACUUGAGUACUGCAGGGGAGACUGGAAUUCCUGGUGUAGCGGUGGAAUGCGCAGAUAUCAGGAGGAACACCGGUGGCGAAGGCGGGUCUCUGGGCAGUAACUGACGCUGAGGAGCGAAAGCGUGGGGAGCGAACAGGAUUAGAUACCCUGGUAGUCC